rnacentral:lncRNA from 1 species
AGAUACCAUAGUGAGAAAGGAUUCAUUUCGCAACACCUACGGCUUCCACUAGAUGUCAACGAUCUUUAUAAAGUUGUUUGAAGCGUCUAUGAUAAACAGAGAGAAAAUUAGAAUCCAAGGAAGUUGACAUGUCAUCACUUCAUUUUUUUGCGCCUGCGCAUAAAUCUGAGAGACGUGAGUUUGUCAUCAUUUUUUAUCUAGACAUAGGAUAGGUUGUGUGAAAAUAUUACUGAUGUUUAACGUUAAAAAUGGACCAAAAGAUUAAUGCUAAACAACAUUUGACAUGUUUGAACGAACAUAAAUAGAUUAUUUACUAGGUUUUUUAGCUUUUCGGCGUGAUUUUACCAGCCCCACACCACGUUUUGUGGGAGCAUAAUGAACGCUAAGUACUUGGUGUUAUUUGGACAUAAAUUAUGAACUUUGUCAAAAGAAACCACAUUUGUUCCGGACCUGGAAUGCCUUCCGGACCUGGGAUCCUGCCUUCUGAUGGAGAUAAUCAAAGGCAACAGCUCUACAAGGCAUUGAGGGGAAAAAUCAACACAACAAAAAGAGUGAGUGAAUCAUGGCCAAGUUCACUGUCUUCUCCAAGCCAUUGACUUCAGAGACCUGAUGGUAGUUCCUCCUGAAAGCUUACUGGGAUGGGGUGAUGCUUUGCGGGGGCCUGGUGUAUCUCCACACCUUAAAGCCAGCUGUGGAAGACCAGCAGAGCAAUUUACAGCACAGCGGUGAGCAAAGGCCUUCUCUCCUUCCACUUCUUUCCAGAUGCCGCUGUGCCGGAGUAUCCAAAGUCACAGAUCUAUCCGCUGCCUUCAACACUGUGAACCAUCAGAUCCUCCUCUCCACCCUCUCAGUACUGGGCAUCUCUGGCUCUGCACACUCUUGGAUUGUAUCCUACCUGGCAGGCCGCUCCUACCAGGUGAUGUGGAGAGGAUCUCUGUCUGCACCAUGUACUCUCACAACUGGUAUCCCUCAGAGCUCAGUUCUAGGCCCUCUCCUCCUCUCUGUACACUGACAACUCCACGAUUUCCCCCUCCCAGAGUGCAAAGAACCCUGACGUGACCCUGGACAAUACCUUGUCGUUCUCUGCAAACAUCAUUGCAGUGACUUGCUCCUGUAGGUUCAUGCUCUACAACAUCCGUAGAGUAUGACCCUACCUCACACAUGAAGUGGCGCAGGUCCUAAUCUAGGCACUUGUCAUC